rnacentral:pre_miRNA from 1 species
CUAAGUACUAGCGCCGCAGGAGUGUUAAUUCACAACUCCUGCAGCCUUGGUGCUUACUG